AGAUUGUAGGAAAAACCUUGGGGUUGAUUUUCCUUUUCAGCCUGAUCGUAUUCUCUGCAUGGAGGAGGAGAACAUCUAGACUCCCCAGUGGGUUUGACAUGACAGACCGUUCACAGGGACUGGUGGGAAUGAACUCCCCGGUUGGGACAGUGUGCUCUAACCAGGCCACGGUCAGUAGAGGGAACCAGUAACCACCACUUAACAACCUAGUAACCACCACUUAACAACC